GACGAACGCUGGCGGCGUGCCUAAUACAUGCAAGUAGAACGCAGUUGCGAACGGGUGAGUAACGCGUAGGUAACUGCCUGGUAGCGGGGGAUAACUAUUGGAAACGAGAGCUAAUACCGCAUACUACCAGAUGGACCUGCGUUGUAUUAGCUAGGUGGUGAGGUAACGGCUCACCAAGGCAACGAUACAUAGCCGACUUGAGAGGUGUGUCGGCCAGACUUGGACUGAGACACGUCCCAAACUCCUUCGAGAGGCAGCCGUAGGGAAUCUUUGGCAAUGGGUGGAACCCUAACCGAGCAACGCCGCGUGAGUGCAGAAGGUUUUCGGAUCGUAAAGCUUUGUUGUUAAGGAAGCGGUACUUAACCAGAAAGGGACGGCUAACUACGUGCCAGCCGCCGCGGUAAUAC
rnacentral:rRNA from 1 species